UACGGGGUGCAGCAGUGGGGAAUAUUGCGCAAUGGGGGAAACCCUGACGCAGCGACGCCGCGUGUAGGAAGAAGGCCUUCGGGUCGUAAACUACUGUCAGGAGGGAAGAAACUGGUGAGGGCAUCAUACACCUCAUCACUGACGGUACCUCCAGAGGAAGCACCGGCUAACUCCGUGCCAGCAGCCGCGGUAAUACGGAGGGUGCGAGCGUUAAUCGGAAUCACUGGGCGUAAAGCGUGCGUAGGCGGCGCUUCAAGUCAGGCGUGAAAGCCCUCGGCUCAACCGAGGAAUUGCGCUUGAAACUGGAGUGCUGGAGUCUCGGAGAGGUUGGCGGAAUUCCAGGUGUAGGAGUGAAAUCCGUAGAUAUCUGGAGGAACACCGGUGGCGAAGGCGGCCAACUGGACGAGUACUGACGCUGAGGUACGAAAGCGUGGGGAGCAAACAGGAUUAGAUACCCGGGUAGUC
rnacentral:rRNA from 1 species